rnacentral:ncRNA from 2 species
GUGGUGGACUGGGGGAGCCGGGGAGCCGGCUGAGAGGAAACAAACUGCUGUUUCGACCCCUGGAACCUGAUCCAGGUCAUACUGGCGAAGGAAAGUCGAUUCCAAUACUU